GAUGAACGCUGGCGGCGUGCCUAAUACAUGCAAGUCGAGCGAACGGACGAGAAGCUUGCUUCUCUGAUGUUAGCGGCGGACGGGUGAGUAACACGUGGAUAACCUACCUAUAAGACUGGGAUAACUUCGGGAAACCGGAGCUAAUACCGGAUAAUAUUUUGAACCGCAUGGUUCAAAAGUGAAAGACGGUCUUGCUGUCACUUAUAGAUGGAUCCGCGCUGCAUUAGCUAGUUGGUAAGGUAACGGCUUACCAAGGCAACGAGGCAUAGCCGACCUGAGAGGGUGAUCGGCCACACUGGAACUGAGACACGGUCCAGACUCCUACGGGAGGCAGCAGUAGGGAAUCUUCCGCAAUGGGGGAAAGCCUGACGGAGCAACGCCGCGUGAGUGAUGAAGGUCUUCUGAUCGUAAAACUCUGUUAUUAGGGAAGAACAUAUGUGUAAGUAACUGUGCACAUCUUGACGGUACCUAAUCAGAAAGCCACGGCUAACUACGUG
rnacentral:rRNA from 1 species